rnacentral:rRNA from 1 species
CUCGUAGGUGGCCAACUAAGUCGGACGUGAAAUCCCUCAGCUUAACUGGGGAACUGCGUCCGAUACUGGAUGGCUUGAGUUUGGGAGAGGGAUGCGGAAUUCCAGGUGUAGCGGUGAAAUGCGUAGAUAUCUGGAGGAACACCGGUGGCGAAGGCGGCAUCCUGGACCAACACUGACACUGAGGAGCGAAAGCCAGGGGAGCAAACG